AUGAACGCUAGCGGCAGGCCUAAUACAUGCAAGUCGAGGGGUAUGGGUUGCUUGCAACCCAGAGACCGGCGCACGGGUGCGUAACGCGUAUGCAAUCUACCUUAAUCAGGGGGAUAGCCCGGAGAAAUCCGGAUUAACACCGCAUAACAUUGAGUUGUGGCAUCACAGUUCAAUCAAAUAUUUAUAGGAUUAAGAUGAGCAUGCGUGACAUUAGUUAGUUGGUGAGGUAACGGCUCACCAAGACCACGAUGUCUAGGGGAUCUGAGAGGAUGACCCCCCACACUGGUACUGAGACACGGACCAGACUCCUACGGGAGGCAGCAGUAAGGAAUAUUGGUCAAUGGGCGCAAGCCUGAACCAGCCAUGCCGCGUGCAGGAAGACGGCCCUAUGGGUUGUAAACUGCUUUUGUACCGGAAUAAACCUUCUCUUGCGAGAGAAGCUGAACGUACGGUAAGAAUAAGGAUCGGCUAACUCCGUG
rnacentral:rRNA from 1 species